UACGGAGGGUGCAAGCGUUAUCCGGAUUCACUGGGUUUAAAGGGUGCGUAGCCGGAUUCUUAAGUCCGUGGUGAAAUCUCCAAGCUUAACUUGGAAACUGCCAUGGAUACUAUUAGUCUUGAAUGUUGUGGAGGUUAGCGGAAUAUGUCAUGUAGCGGUGAAAUGCAUAGAUAUGACAUAGAACACCAAUUGCGAAGGCAGCUGGCUACACAAAUAUUGACGCUGAGGCACGAAAGCGUGGGGAGCAAACAGG
rnacentral:rRNA from 1 species